UACGUAGGGCGCAAGCGUUGUCCGGAAUUAUUGGGCGUAAAGAGCUCGUAGGCGGUUUGUCGCGUCUGCUGUGAAAAACCUAAGGCUCAACCUUGGGCUUGCAGUGGGUACGGGCAGGCUAGAGUUCGGCAGGGGAGACUGGAAUUCCUGGUGUAGCGGUGAAAUGCGCAGAUAUCAGGAGGAACACCGGUGGCGAAGGCGGGUCUCUGGGCCGAUACUGACGCUGAGGAGCGAAAGCGUGGGGAGCGAACAGG
rnacentral:rRNA from 1 species